rnacentral:misc_RNA from 1 species
GGAGGGUUGCUUGAAAUGCAGGUGCAGCUGGACAUUCUCCUAAGCUAUCAGCAUAUUUAUUUAGUCAUUAUUACUUUUGCUGCAGCUAUCAUAAAGGGAGUCUGACCAUAUUGGCUGACUGAUGCGGGAUUUCACAAGGGUCGGCAACGAUUCUUGUAAAACUCGAUCUCAAAUCAAGUAAGACUACCCGCUGAACUUAA